UACGGAGGGUGCGAGCGUUGUCCGGAAUCACUGGGCGUAAAGCGCACGUAGGCGGCUUUGUAAGUUAGAGGUGAAAGCCCGGAGCUCAACUCCGGAAUUGCCUUUAAGACUGCAUCGCUAGAAUUGUGGAGAGGUAAGUGGAAUUCCGAGUGUAGAGGUGAAAUUCGUAGAUAUUCGGAAGAACACCAGUGGCGAAGGCGACUUACUGGACACAUAUUGACGCUGAGGUGCGAAAGCGUGGGGAGCAAACAGG
rnacentral:rRNA from 1 species